rnacentral:misc_RNA from 1 species
ACGUUCCGCUUAGCAUAUGUACAAGCGCUUUCUUAUUUUUCGUUGCGCUUAAGAGAGCGCUUUUGCGCUUUUGAGUACACUGAUAUACUGUUUCUUUACACAUACAAAUUAUAACAAGCAAAAAUCAUAACAUUUAGAUAAUUUAUGUACAAGUACAAAUUGAACAAAAUUACAAGCCAAAAUGCUAUAUUUAAGGGAGAUAAA